GACGAACGCUGGCGGCGUGCUUAACACAUGCAAGUCGAACGGAAAGGCCCUGCUUUUGUGGGGUGCUCGAGUGGCGAACGGGUGAGUAACACGUGAGUAACCUGCCCUUGACUUUGGGAUAACUUCAGGAAACUGGGGCUAAUACCGGAUAGGAGCUCCUGCUGCAUGGUGGGGGUUGGAAAGUUUCGGCGGUUGGGGAUGGACUCGCGGCUUAUGAGCUUGUUGGUGGGGUAGUGGCUUACCAAGGCUUUGACGGGUAGCCGGCCUGAGAGGGUGACCGGCCACAAUGGGACUGAGAUACGGCCCAGACUGGUACGGGAGGCAGCAGUGGGGAAUAUUGCACAAUGGGCGGAAGCCUGAUGCAGCAACGCCGCGUGCGGGAUGACGGCCUUCGGGUUGUAAACCGCUUUCGCCUGUGACGAAGCGUGAGUGACGGUAAUGGGUAAAGAAGCACCGGCUAACUACGUG
rnacentral:rRNA from 1 species